CGCGUAGGCGGCCACUGCAAGUCAGUUGUGAAAUCUCCGGGCUUAACUCGGAAAGGUCAACUGAUACUGCAGGGCUAGAGUGCGGAAGGGGCAACUGGAAUUCUCGGUGUAGCGGUGAAAUGCGUAGAUAUCGAGAGGAACACCUGCGGCGAAGGCGGGUUGCUGGGCCGACACUGACGCUGAAGUGCGAAAGCUAGGGGAGCGAACG
rnacentral:rRNA from 1 species